rnacentral:lncRNA from 1 species
AAAGAGUGGAGGUACCAAUAAAAACCACUCAACUCCCUGUUCCUAAAAAGAGGGGGAGUAGUAUGGCAUCUGACCUGGAGCUAGCUUCUAGCAAGCAGCAAAGGAAAUCGAGGAGAAAAUCCUUGGAGUCAGUAAAUGCAGGUCAACUCAACGUUGACAAACACCUAAUGGGUAGUUCACACCAAGUGGAAGGGCAACCUCCACAACCCAG